rnacentral:SRP_RNA from 1 species
GCUGGGUGUAGUGGUGCGUGCCUGUAGUCCCAGCUACUUGGGAGGCUGAGGUGGGAGGAUCGCUUGAGUCCAGGAGUUCUGGGCUGUAAUGCGCUAUGCCGGUCGGGUGUCUGCACUAAGUUCGGCAUCAAUAUGGUGACCUCCCGGGAGCGGGGGACCACUGGGUUGCCUAAGGAGGGGUGCACCGGCCCAGGUCGGAAACGGAACAGGUCAAAACUCCCGUGCUGAUCAGUAGUGGGAUCACGCCUGUAAAUAGCCACUGUACUCCAGCCUAGGCAACAUAGCGAGACCCCUGUCUCU